UGCGCAGGCGGUUAUAUAAGACAGAUGUGAAAUCCCCGGGCUCAACCUGGGAACUGCCUUUGUGACUGUAUAGCUAGAGUACGGCAGAGGGGGAUGGAAUUCCGCGUGUAGCAGUGAAAUGCGUAGAUAUGCGGAGGAACACCGAUGGCGAAGGCAAUCCCCUGGGCCUGUACUGACGCUCAUGCACGAAAGCUGGGAGCAAACA
rnacentral:rRNA from 1 species